rnacentral:lncRNA from 1 species
GGCGCAUUUUCGGCGACCAGUACCGAUGAUUGUUUGCGCGGCGAAGCCACCGGGAAGCCUUGAUUUGACGUAUUUCUUCAAGUCUGCUGUCUCCAAUUCAAGCGGCGAAGCAACCGCAGCAGCGGAGGCAACGACGGCCAGUGAAGAGGUUUUGGUCAGAUGGGAAAUGGAAAGAGAAUUGGAGCGGACAAAGGAGAGUGAAGAGGGUCUUUGAGAAAUAUGGGAAGAAAAUGAAAGAGACGAGAGUGAAGAUGUAAGGGAGGACAUGGAAAUUGCCAUUGCGUAAAGCUAGGUCGGUGUUUAUUUCCCUGGAAAAUGGAUUUCCAGGCGUUGUAAGCUGAGGGGACAAGAGCGGGUGAGA